AACAUUGUUACAGACUUCAAAGUUUAUGGAUGACUUGUAAGGUGAGGAUUCACAGCAAAGUAAUCUCAGAUAUCUUACUACAGCCACCACCUUCUGCAAACAUGAAAAGAGAUCACAUAAAAUCACAGAUCUCCAGGGAAGCUGAGAUAGAAGACAAGCUUACAACCUAUUGUUGACAGUAUUUCAAAACAAAAGCCAAUCUGUAGUGUACAGAAGCAGAAUUCAUGUUAGGUCUGCAUUCUUGCUUAUGUAUGCAAAUUACUGUAACAUUUACAGUACAGAGCAAAAAUGCACUGAUCGGUUCACGUUUUCCAACUCACUCAUAAGUGUUUUGUGCCGUCCACAUUAAGAGCGCCCCCCCAAUAGCACUCUUACCCUAAGUCUAAAUUACAUUCAGUUAACAGGGUUGAUUAUUUUUAAUGUUGCUGGUUGUUAUGAUUUGGAUUUGAUCCUGCUCCAUUAGCAGGUGAUUACCAGGUGAGUGCAUUACUAAAACAGACACAGCAUAUGGAAAAAAAGCAGCAGUCUGUUUCUCUUUCCUGCUCAGUUCCACCGAUCAUCUCCCUCAGAGUGCAUUAAUUACUCCAGAAUAGGAAUUAAUUCGAAGGAAUUAAGCAUAAUACGGUUUAAUUCCACUGAUCGUGAGAGCUGUGUGUGCAUUACAGAACAAGCAGAUCUUACCAUCCUUCCGGUCUCGUUUAUUUCCCUCCAUAGCAUUCUAUUGUUACACGUAAUGUAUUCUAUUUCAUUCCAUUAUACAGAGUGCCAUUUACUUCCAUUCAUUUUCAUUCUGUUCUAUUCCAUUCCAUCAGUGAAAGCUGAUAUCUCAUUGCUGCCAUUGUGGCUGGUAACUGCAUCCAACAUCCUGAUUGGAUUGAAGGUGGGAGUGAACAUUGGCAAGACCCCAAAGUCUGGUGGCCCUGCAUUCGGCCACCCUCUCAGAUUCACACACACCCACAAAGGCCGUCCUUUAAGGCUGAUGGAAGAGUUCACCAUCGAACAAGCACAGGGGCAUCUUUCUCAGGGUCCUCCGAGUCUCUCACACACAAUCAGUUCUUCAUUAUCCCAGGUCAGAUUCAGUAAAUGGUCCACCCUUCAAUAAAGAGACUGAAAAAGAAG
ensembl:lncRNA